rnacentral:RNase_P_RNA from 1 species
GAAGCUGAUCAGGCAAUCGCUGCCUUGAGUAAUCAGGGGAGAGGAAAGUCCGGGCUCCAUAGAGCAGGAUGCCGGUUAACGGCCGGCCGCCGUGAGGCGAGGAACAGGGCCACAGAGACGAGUAUGCCGGCUUUCGGGCCGGCGGAUGUGAAACGCGGUAACCUCCAUCCGGAGCAAGGCCAAAUAGGCAGACGAUGAAGCGGCUCGCUGAGUCUGCGGGUAGGCUGCUUGAGCGUCUGGGCAACCAGGCGCCUAGAGGAAUGAUUGCCCACGACAAAACCCGGCUUAUCGAUCAGCUUCACCC